GGCGGACCCACCUCUGCCACACCGCUUGCUCAUUGGCUGAACCCGCCCAACACUCAGCUGUGAGCCGGCGUCCUACUGGCAUCAACCACGCGCGCUCUAAGUCUCGGUGGCGUCCUAACGCUGCGGCAGAGGGCCCCGAGGCGGGGACGGAACCUAAGUGUGUCCCGACUCGCCGGGAGCCCCGGGGCGCACCCUCCGCCCGCAGAAGUGGUAGCCUCUCGUCCCCGCACGCCGGUCUCAGGGCUUCACCGGAGUUAACACAGCCAAGACCUUACCUUUACCUCCACACCGGAGCCAGGGCCGCUGCCACACUGCAGUGCGGCAGGAGUGAUCCUUCGAGCCAGUUCAAGCCAAGUGUCCUCUAACGAAUCAAACACAAACAGCGAGGAAAGUUACACAAAUGUCAGCACAAAUUCUACCAGUGUGACAUCAUCUGCAGCCACAGUGGCGUCCUAACUACUGGCUUCUUGCUGGGACUUAAACUGACUUGAGUGCGGCAAAAUGUUGACACAAAAAAAAAAAAAAAAAAAAAAAGAAGAAGAAGAAAGAAAAAGAAAAAAAAAUGAACAAUCUUUUGUGGUUUCUUGGGAAAACUUUGCAUACCCGGUGAUAUUGUUCAGAAACUCCAUUACCUACAAGUGCUGAUUUGAAGUGCAGAAGCCUCAGUAAAACAAACAAAACGUCGAAAUGUACAAACUAUAGGGAUUCAAUUGUUUUCGGCUGUUAUUCUUGUUUGUUUGGUUUUUGUUUGGUUUUGUUUAAAUGGGCAAGAAAUAGAGAUGUGGCUGGAAUAAAAGUUAAUCAAACUAGAAAAAAAAAAGAAUUGUAAAGCUUUGUAACUCUGGGUACAAUACCAGGGUUUUUGGUAUCUAGAAUAGUGCAUCUCAGACUUGAAUCCACCUGGGAUCCACCUGGGAUUCUUUGUGUGUGUGUUUUUAAACACAUAGCAUAAAAUUUACCAUCUUACCAUCUUAAGUAUAUAGUUCAGUAGUGUUAGGUAUGUGCACAUUGCUAUAGAGCAUAUCUCAAGAACUUUUUAAUCUUAUUCAACUUUAUAACUACCGAACAACAACUUUCCAUGUCCCCUCCACCAGCAUCUGACAACCAGCAUUCUUUCUGAUGCUGUGAGGUCGACUAUUCUGGAUACAUCAUAUAAGUGGAAUAUAUAUAUUUGUGUAUUUGUCUUCAUCUAGCAUCAUGUCUUCAAGAUUCACCCAUGUCAUAGCGUGUGACAGGACUUUUUUUUUUUUUUAAUUUUCAUGCAAGUUAGUAUAUAGUGCAACAAUGAUUUCAGGAGUAGAUUCCUUAAUGCCUCUACCCAUUUAGCCCAUCCCCCCUCCCACAACCCCUCCAGAAACCCUGUUUGUUCUCCAUAUUUAAGUGACUCUUACGUUUUGUCUCCCUCCCUGUUCUUAUAUUAUUUUUUUUAGUGUUUUUUAACAUUUGUUUAUCUUUGGGAGAGAGAGACAGAUCAUGAGCAGGGGAGGGUCAGAGAGAGAGGGAGACACAGAAUUGGAAGCAGUCUCCAGGCUCCAACAUGCCAGCACAGAGCCCAACUCGGGGCUUUAACCCACAAACUGUGAGACCAUGACCUGAGCCAAAGUCAGACGUUCAACUGACUGAGCCACCCAGGUGCCCCUGUUCUUAUAUUAUUUUUGCUUUCCUUCCUUUAUGUUCAUCUGUUUUGUAUCUUAAAGUCCUCAUGAGUAAAGUCAUAUGAUAUUUGUCUUUCUCUGACUAAUUUUGCUUAGCAUAAUACCCUCUAGUUCCAUCCACAUAGU
rnacentral:lncRNA from 1 species